GUGUGGUCUAGAAGUUUUUUGAGUCGCAGACUCGUGUUCUAAUCCUGAGUCCAGCAGUGAUGCAGUGCAACAUGGAGGAUCACGUGGGUCCAGAUUUCCCAGCCUUUCAUCCGGUUGCAUCUGGAUGGGAUGCUGAGAACUCUGUAGUGCCUUCUAUGAUAUGUCUUUCUGCAUACUAAACGCCCAGAAUGUGUACUGAACAACCCCAGGGAGCUGGUGAAACGUAUUAAACUGCUGAUUUUGCAAAAGACAUGCUUUCUGUGCACCAGAGGGUAACCUGCCAUUGCAGUCUGCACUGUGGAGAAAACAGUGCUAUUAGCAGAAGACGUUUUAUCUGCAUUGAGAGAGUGGCUACAAUUUAGAAUUUGUUUUUACAGCUUAAAAGAAUAAAGCAUUUAUAAGAACAGUUGUUCUUCUCUUCAGAAUGCAAUCAUAACUUUAAACUGCAAAAGGAGUAAAGCCAUUAAAGAAACACUUUCUUCUGUGUCAGAAGGUUAAGUGUGUAACAGCUUGCCAUUGUUUUUUCAUUUCUGGUCUGCUGGGUUAUUUGAUAUGUAAGUUGUGGGUGUUUUUUUAUACCUCCUUUCUAUAUUUUAAAAUUAGAAUUGCUUUGGGAAAUGAUCCAACUGCUUCCCAUUUCAGAAAACCAGCUUUCAUCAACUCACACUGACUAAAUUAGAUGGGUGAAUUAGGGUUCCUUGCUUGUUGGUCUACCAUUAAUGCUCAGGGAGAUGUGAAAUGCUCUAGUUCAAACCAACUUUCUCAUUCUUAUGUUAUUUAAAUAGCAUUCUCAUUUCAGAUAAUCUGCACUGUUACAACGGAUUGAAAUAUCAUUACGAUGG